GGGGAAUAUUGGACAAUGGGCGCAAGCCUGAUCCAGCAAUGCCGCGUGGGUGAAGAAGGCCUUCGGGUUGUAAAGCCCUUUUGUACGGAAAGAAAUCCUGUCGGUUAAUACCCGGCGGGGAUGACGGUACCGUAAGAAUAAGCACCGGCUAACUUCGUGCCAGCAGCCGCGGUAAUACGAAGGGUGCAAGCGUUAAUCGGAAUUACUGGGCGUAAAGCGUGCGUAGGUGGUUGUUUAAGUCUGUCGUGAAAGCCCUGGGCUCAACCUGGGAAUGGCGAUGGAUACUGGGCAGCUAGAGUGCGGUAGAGGAUGGCGGAAUUCCCGGUGUAGCGGUGAAAUGCGUAGAGAUCGGGAGGAACAUCUGUGGCGAAGGCGGCCAUCUGGACCAGCACUGACACUGAGGCACGAAAGCGUGGGGAGCAAAC
rnacentral:rRNA from 1 species